rnacentral:rRNA from 1 species
CGGCGGACGGGUGAGUAACACGUGGAUAACCUACCUAUAAGACUGGGAUAACUUCGGGAAACCGGAGCUAAUACCGGAUAAUAUAUUGAACCGCAUGGUUCAAUGGUGAAAGACGGUUUUGCUGUCACUUAUAGAUGGAUCCGCGCCGCAUUAGCUAGUUGGUAAGGUAACGGCUUACCAAGGCAACGAUGCGUAGCCGACCUGAGAGGGUGAUCGGCCACACUGGAACUUAGACACGGUCCAGACUCCUACGGGAGGCAGCAGGG